AAUUUAAAGCUGAGCAAAAGGAUGAAACCGUGGAUUGAGGGGUCAGAGCAAAAAGGCUGCAUUCAUUCUCCAGGGAAGAUUGUUUGCCAAAGGUUCUCUGAGCAUACAUUCCAUAAGCAAGGAACCUCGCUGAGAAGUGUGCCACUGGACCUACCCGUGCAGGUGGAGAGAGCCAGCCAGCCAAGUGUCAGUGCAAGAGGGGCUUCCCAUGCACUGUUUAGUGGGCAAAGCUUGCUGCAGCUGAGGAAAUCAUGGAAUUGGCAUCAUGAACCCAGGACGUGGAGAACUGAUGGAGGAAUGCAAUAGAUGAUGAGCUGAAACAAGUCCUGCUUGAUGAGAACAAAGGCUGCUCUAUUAUAGUGGAUGAUUAGACUUCCAAACCUAAUUAUCCCCUUUGGGACUCAGCACAGACCUAAUGCAGCUUGGAUUAUGGAGGCAGGUUCUUCCUUUCAACUUUGUUCAAUAGAU